rnacentral:rRNA from 1 species
CCUACGUGAGGCAGCAGUGAGGAAUAUUGGUCAAUGGGCGCGAGCCUGAACCAGCCAAGUAGCGUGAAGGAUGACUGCCCUACGGGUUGUAAACUUCUUUUAUAAAGGAAUAAAGUGAGGCACGUGUGCCUUUUUGUAUGUAUUUUAUGAAUACGGAUCGGCUAACUCCGUGCCAGCAGCCGCGGUAAUACGGAGGAUCCGAGCGUUAUCCGGAUUUAUUGGGUUUAAAGGGAGCGUAGAUGGGUUGUUAAGUCAGUUGUGAAAGUUUGCGGCUCAACCGUAAAAUUGCAAUUGAUACUGGCAGCCUUGAGUACAGUUGAGGUAGGCGGAAUUCGUGGUGUAGCGGUGAAAUGCUUAGAUAUAACGAAGAACUACGAUUGCGAAGGCAGCCUACUAAACUGCCACUGACAUUGAUGCGCGAAAGUGUGGGUAUCAAACAGGAUUAGAUACCCUUGUAGUC